UAUAUCAUUCACUGAUACUCAGCUCAAGUCAUUGCGUAGUGUCACCCUGGCUAAAGUCAUCUGUGCUAACACUAAAAUUGAGGCGCUGCCAAAUAAUGUUUUUAGUCCCGUAUCAAAAACAAAUCCUCUGGUACCUUGUUUACAGCUGCUGGAUGAAAGUUUGGAUCUACGAUUUUUCGAUUAGUUUAAUCCAGAUCAAUUUAGUUGACACAUCAAUCUCAAUGGAACAAAGAUUUCAGAGUUUGUGGGAAUUUAAAUUUAUAUUUUUGUAAUUUUCGAGUUGGAGGAUGAACGUUAUAUUUCUGUAAGCCUGCGCAUGACAUUCACCUAGCAUAUGUUUUAUUGUUUUAGCUGAAAGAUUUUUGAAUAAAGUCAUCCAUUUGUAAAACCUCAAGGGAAAUAUAUUUGUUUCUAUUUACUUGUCAAUGCUAUUUAAAUAUGAUCAAAUGCUUUAAACUUUAGCUCAAUCCAGACUCUCUUUCAGCCCAAAUUAAUUGUUUGUUAAAUACUGACGUCCCCCCCCUCCAAUUCCCCCUC
rnacentral:sRNA from 1 species